UACAGAGGGGGCAAGCGUUGUUCGGAAUUACUGGGCGUAAAGGGCGCGUAGGCGGCCCGCUAAGUCGAACGUGAAAUCCCCGAGCUCAACUCGGGAACUGCGUCCGAUACUGGCGGGCUUGAAUCCGGGAGAGGGAUGCGGAAUUCCAGGUGUAGCGGUGAAAUGCGUAGAUAUCUGGAGGAACACCCGUGGCGAAGGCGGCCCUCUGGCUCGACCCUGACGCUGAGGCGCGAAAGCGUGGGGAGCGAACGGG
rnacentral:rRNA from 1 species